rnacentral:tRNA from 1 species
GGGCGCGUAGCUCAGUGGUAGAGCAGAUGUCUUAUACACAUUUGGUCGUAGGUUCGAUCCCUACCGCGCCCACCA